AUCAGGCGAUCGUUUGGUUCAAAGGGGGACCGAGGCCUGGCUUCAUGAAGCCCGCGCUAUCAGCGUUGGUGAUAACGGCCCCAAGGCUGACGGGUAUGGUCUGAGGACGACCCCACACUGACUGAGACGGUCCAGACCUACGGGGCAGCAGUAGAAUUUUACAAUGGGAAACCCUGGGAGCGACCGCGUGGGAUGAAUGGUCGGCCCGAACCCCUGAUUCGGGAAAUGCCUGAUUUAAAAUGGUAGGUAUAGUACCAAGAGGAAGACGGCUAUCUGUGCCCAGCCGCGAAUACAGAUCCCAAGCUGUUCGGAUACUGGGCAAAGGGUGUARGUGGUGGUAAGUCAUGUGAAAUCGGAGCUAACUCCGACGGCAUUGGAUACUAUUCA
rnacentral:rRNA from 1 species